GUACCCGCUGAACUUAAGCAUAUCAAUAAGCGGAGGAAAAGAAACCAACAGGGAUUGCCUUAGUAACUGCGAGUGAAGCGGCAAAAGCUCAAAUUUGAAAUCUGGCGCCUUUGGCGUCCGAGUUGUAAUUUGGAGGGGCAUCUUCGGAGGUGGCGCCGUCCCAAGUUCCUUGGAACAGGACGUCAUAGAGGGUGAGAAUCCCGUGCCUGGGUGGCUGCCCAUCUCCAUGUGAAGUGUCUCCGACGAGUCGAGUUGUUUGGGAAUGCAGCUCAAAAUGGGAGGUAAAUUUCUUCUAAAGCUAAAUAUUGGCGAGAGACCGAUAGCGCACAAGUAGAGUGAUCGAAAGAUGAAAAGCACUUUGAAAAGAGAGUUAAAAAGUACGUGAAAUUGUUGAAAGGGAAGCGCUUGAGAUCAGACUCGACCGCUGGUGAUCAGCCGUGCUUCUGUGCGGUGCACUUGCCAGUGGUCGGGCCAGCAUCGGUUCUGACGGCGGGACAAAAGGUCGGGGAAUGUGGCUCCCUCCGGGGAGUGUUAUAGCCCCGGUCACAAUGCCGCCUGUUGGGACCGAGGACCGCGCUUCGGCUAGGAUGCUGGCGUAAUGGUCUUAAGCGACCCGUCUUGAAACACGGACC
rnacentral:rRNA from 1 species